AUUGACAGAAUAUAUUUGGUAGUUUCUCUGGGGCGGAGACCUCAUAAAAUGUAACUGAGGUGUACAAAGGUAAUUAAAAUUUUAUUAGAAAAUUUUGGCGUGUAAUGGCUAAAAAUUACUUAACUGUGAGAUUUACAAAUCAAACAGAGAUCUUUUUUAUUAAAAAGGUCGGUCAUAGUGAUCCAAUAUAAUUGAAUGGAAAAUAUAUUGCUCAACGGAUAAAAGGUACGCUAGGGAUAACAGGCUUAUGACUCCGGAGAGAAGAUAUCGACGGGGUUGUUUGGCACCUCGAUGUCGAUUGGUCACAUCCUGGUUAAGAAAAAUGUUCCAAGGGUAAGGCUGUUCGCCUUUUAAAGUGGCACCUGAAUUGGGUUCAGAACGUCGUGAGACAG
rnacentral:rRNA from 13 species